rnacentral:rRNA from 1 species
UACAGAGGUCUCAAGCGUUUGUUCGGAUUCAUUGGGCGUAAAGGGUGUGUAGGUGGCGCGCUAAGUCGGGUGUGAAAUUUCGGAGCUUAACUCCGAAACUGCAUUCGAUACUGGCGUGCUUGAGGACUGGAGAGGAGACUGGAAUUUACGGUGUAGCGGUGAAAUGCGUAGAUAUCGUAAGGAAGACCAGUGGCGAAGGCGGGUCUCUGGACAGUUCCUGACGCUGAGGCACGAAGGCCAGGGGAGCAAACGGG